rnacentral:rRNA from 1 species
GACGAACCGUGCGAACGUUAUUCGGAAUCACUGGGCUUAAAGCGCGUGUAGGCGGGGCGGCACGUCGGUCGCUGAAAGCCCCCGGCUCAACCGGGGAACGGGCGCCGAUACGACCGCCCUGGAGGGACGUAGGGGGGCCUGGAACUUCCGGUGGAGCGGUGAAAUGCGUUGAGAUCGAAAGGAACGCCCGUGGCGAAAGCGAGGCCCUGGACGUCUGCUGACGCUGAGACGCGAAAGCCAGGGGAGCGAACGGG